GCAGUAUGUUGAGUAAUCGCCUGCCUCUUGUAGGCAGGAGGAAAGUCCGGGCAGCACAGGAUACGACAGUUGCUAACGGCAACCGGGGGUGACCCUAGGGAAAGUGCCACAGAAACGAUACCGCCACUAUGCGUCGAAAGGCGCGCAGGGGUAAGGGUGAAAGGAGUGAGGUAAGAGCUCACAGUCGACCAUGGUGACAUGGGAGAGAGGUAAACCCUGUCGGCUGCAAGGGAUUGACGCAUUAAGAGCGAUCCGUUCGCGUCGGUCAAUAUCCGCUUGAACUAUGCAGCAAUGUAUAGUCUAGAUAGAUGAUUACUCUCGACAGAACCCGGCUUACAGACUUACUGCCAAU
rnacentral:RNase_P_RNA from 1 species